rnacentral:rRNA from 1 species
AUUGAACGCUGGCGGCGUGCCUAACACAUGCAAGUCGAGCGGUAACAGGUGUAGCAAUACAUGCUGACGAGCGGCGGACGGGUGAGUAACGCUUGGGAAUCUGCCUAUUAGUGGGGGACAACCCGGGGAAACUCGGGCUAAUACCGCAUACGCACUACGGUGGAAAGCCGGGGACCGCAAGGCCUGGCGCUAACAGAUGAGCCCAAGUCGGAUUAGCUAGUUGGUAGGGUAACGGCCACCAAGGCGACGAUCCGUAACUGGUCUGAGAGGACGACCAGUCACACCGGAACUGAGACACGGUCCGGACUCCUACGGGAGGCAGCAGUGGGGAAUAUUGGACAAUGGGCGAAAGCCUGAUCCAGCGACGCCGCGUGGGUGAAGAAGGCCUGC